CGAACGGGUGAGUAACACAUCGGAACGUACCCAGGAGUGGGGGACAACCUCGAGAAAUCGAGGCUAAUACCGCAUACGUCCUGAGGGAGAAAGCGGGGGAUUCGCAAGGACCUCGCGCUCAUGGAUCGGCCGAUGCCGGAUUAGCUAGUUGGUGGGGUAAUAGCCCACCAAGGCUACGAUCCGUAGCUGGUUUGAGAGAACGACCAGCCACACUGGGACUGAGACACGGCCCAG
rnacentral:rRNA from 1 species